AACGAACGCUGGCGGCAUGCCUAACACAUGCAAGUCGAACGAGACCUUCGGGUCUAGUGGCGCACGGGUGCGUAACGCGUGGGAACCUGCCCUUAGGUUCGGAAUAACUCCCCGAAAGGGGUGCUAAUACCGGAUAAUUUCUUCGGACCAAAGAUUUAUCGCCUUUGGAUGGGCCCGCGUUGGAUUGGCUAGUUGGUAGGGUAAAAGCCUACCACGGCGACGAUCCUUAGCUGGUCACAGAGGAUGGGCAGCGACUCUGGGAGGGGGACACGGCCCAGACUCCUACGGGAGGGAGGAGUGGGGAAUAUUGGACAACGGGCGAAGGCAUGAUGGCGCAAGGCCGCGUGAGUGAUGAAGGCCUGAGGGUUGUAAAGCUCUUUUACACGGGAUGAUAAUGACAGUACCGGGAGAAUAAGCACCGGCUAACUCCGUG
rnacentral:rRNA from 1 species